CUUCACCUGAGAGCAGAGAUCAGGUUGUGAGCAGCAGUCAAAGAAAGUAAAUAGAUUUAGGGAGCAUCAAAAGGAAACCUACAGACAAAACCAUCAAAGUGAGAUGGCUUUUAACACAACAUGCAGUUCUACAGCCUAAUUUAUGAAAAAUAUACUGAUGAGAUUUGUGCAUCCUACUGCUGUAUAUAAAUACCUGAAUGGAAAGCGCAGAGAGGACAGAAACAGGCAACCAG
rnacentral:lncRNA from 1 species